GCCUCGACAGCUUGAACGAAAGAGCUUAGUGACCAGUUCGUCGAGUGCUCCGCGUAUACGUUGAAUGUAGAAAUAUUCAUCUCGUUCUCGCCCCUCUCUAUUCGACUCGUUUCGUAGCGGUCCCCCACUCCGUUUUGAGGGAGAGACAUUUACUCAUCGCCACAUUGUAAAAGCGCCUGCUGUAUCAACUGUCAGAUUUUCAUAAUACCAAACUAUCAUUCAUAAACCGUUUUACGCGUUCGAAUCGCAUUUACCUAAACGCCGUUACCGCGAGCGUUUCUCAUCGAUUAGAGCCAGCUCUCCGUUUUAUCGUAAACCGCGUUAAACUGCAACUUUUCUUCGGCUCUACGGGUCUUCAGCGAUCCACCAAUUCGGCGCGAGUUUUCAGCCCGAAAAAAUCAAGAGAUAAGCAGUGGGAGCUGCGAUUCGUCGGCGCGUUCCUCGAGACAUCGACCUCGAGGUCGUUGCUGACUGGCUAGGAGGGUCGAUCGUUACCAGUAGUAGGAGCAACAUCAAUAAAACGAGAGUCAUCGGGAAGGAGAGAGAAGAUCCGACACAUCGGGCACGAGAUUUAGCAGGUCCAAAUACUAGAUAGAAAUUCGAAGAAGAGCCCUCUCCGAUAGGAAUUUCAAAUACGCCAGUCGGAAAAGUGUCGAGGAUCGUGAAGCGGUGACCAGAAAUAAUCGCCAUGCCGGCAGGUAUUGGCGCUUCGUACAGGUCGCUAGGCGACCUAGGCGAAGACGUUUACAAAAGCACGACUAUCGUCGAUCAGACCCAGACCACGGGACAGAGCGUCCUGGAGAGUGUUAAAAAGGCCUUCAGUUUCGCCUCGCCGAAGGUCGAGUUGAGGAAGAAGGAUCCAUUGAUCGAGGACAGACGGGAGAGCGUCUCGAUAGUUUCCAGGGAAAGAAACAAGAUGCCAACAGCUGCAACCGCCGAGGAAUCUGCUCUUCUGGGCACGAUGCCUUCCGACAGUAUGGACGAUAUCGAACUGAAAAACAUUCAGCUACAGUUUCCAGCACUGAGAUAUCUCACCAGGGACGACGGCUCCGUCAGGGAGGAACGGGUGGAAACCGAUAAGGGCAGUUUGCUCGUUGCUGUCCAAGGAAAUCGGGCGAAACCUGCCAUUCUCACUUACCACGAUUUAGGCCUUAACUACAUUUCGAGCUUCCAAGCGUUCUUCAAUUACAUCGACAUGCGCGUUUUACUUGAAAACUUUUGCGUCUAUCACGUAAAUGCACCUGGACAAGAGGAAGGAGCUCCGACGUUACCCGAAGAUUACAUCUAUCCAACGAUGGACGAGUUGGCGGAACAAUUGCUUUUCGUUCUCGGACACUUUGGUCUGAAAUCAGUAAUUGGCUUCGGUGUGGGCGCCGGUGCCAACAUCCUGGCGCGUUUUUCGCUCGCUCACUCGGAAAAAGUCAAUGCGCUGUGCUUGAUCAACUGCGUCUCGACGCAAGCGGGAUGGAUCGAAUGGGGCUAUCAGAAGCUGAACGUUCGUCAUCUGAGAUCACAGGGCAUGACUCAAGGUGUUUUGGACUACUUGAUGUGGCAUCACUUUGGCAGGGGAACCUUGGAGAGAAAUCACGAUCUCGUGCAAGUCUACACCAAUUACUUCGAGCGUCGCGUCAAUCCGACAAAUCUCGCUCUCUUCAUCGACAGCUAUGUGCGCCGUACAGAUCUCAAUAUCGUUAGGGAAUUGGACCCCACACGUAAGAAGGACGGAUCGACCCUUGGCGUUCCGGUUAUCAAUAUAACUGGAUCGUUGAGCCCACACGUCGACGAUACUGUCACUCUCAACGGACGUCUCGACCCGACCAACAGCUCUUGGAUGAAGAUAUCCGAUUGUGGUAUGGUAUUGGAAGAACAGCCAGGGAAAGUGAGCGAAGCAUUCCGACUCUUUCUCCAGGGGGAAGGAUAUGUGGUGAGAUCCCCGCGGAAGACUCUGACGUCGACAACACCCGAAGGUAAUUGUAAUUAGGAAUUGAGGGCACCAAGGAGUCGAACACGCUGUUGGUCAAAAUUUUAAGGCCAAAAUCCUCUAAAUGUUAAUUGCCCCGCUCUCGCCAUUGAAAAUGGCCGAUUACCGGCUAGCAUCUCUCGAAGGCCUUAAUCACAUCUGCAGCAAAAAAAUCGACUGGCCUACAGCGACUAUUCAUAUUACCGAAAAUCCCAUAUCGGAAGCCGUCGU
rnacentral:misc_RNA from 1 species